rnacentral:lncRNA from 1 species
CUCAUUGUCCUCGCUGAGUGGACGAGCAGGCCGUGAGGGAGUCUCCCCUGCGCUUCCUCAGGCCCCUCCAGCCCGGGAUGAGAGUCGGCCAGUGACAGGCGGCCACCUCACCACCUGGCCCUCAGGGCCAGGCUGGGCAGGGCUGGGGCCGGCUCUUCCUCAUGGCGGGAGGAUGACGGGGCAGGGAGCCCCAUCUCCAGGAGCUGGCAGGGAAACCAGAGGACUCCUGGGAGCCCGCCAUGGUCCUGGGGCAGCCCUGCCCUGCCCAUGUGGCCUGGGCGCAGCCAGCUGUCAGCAAGAAGAGGACCUGAGGCCACGUGCUGGCCGGCAGAGCAGGGCUGUGGCGGAGGUACCGAGGGGCCUCCCCAGCUCCGUUCCUGGGCAUGGAGAGCAAGCUCCCACCUCCAGCACCUCCGCCAUGGGGCCUGCAGCACAGAGGGGCUCCAGAGGGCUGUGUCCGCCCUCGGUGCUGCCCGUGGCCUCUCCUGCCUCGGGCUCCGCCCUGACAGGCAGCUGGAGGCCCGCAGGCUGGAGGGGAGCAGAUGGGCCCAGCAGUCAGCCCCGUGAUGGGAGAGACCAGCGGGACCAGCAAAACGGAUGGUGGGCACACAAGCAAGUCCAGCCCUGGCCAGAGACCCGCCAGACGGGGCCCAGCCUCCCCUGCCCAGCCGCAGAGCCGGCGUCACACUAGCCUGCGUUUGUUACACAGCAGUUGAUGCCAGCUACACACCAGGUGACAAAGGGCUGAGCUCAGUGGCCAUCUCCCCUCUCUGUCCUGUCCCCACUGGGACGCGUCAGUGCCGACACCCCAGGCCCUCCUGACCUCCCCAGCCUGCAGGGCGGAGGCAGCGGGUCUGGCGCCCAAGCCCCCCAGGCAGGUGGGAUCCCGCCCUCGUUCCCUCAGUCCUUGAGAUUUGUGCCAGGGAGACCCAGAGGACAGCCAGGCUCUGCCUUCAG